GACGAACGCUGGCGGCGUGCCUAAUACAUGCAAGUAGAACGCUGAAGGAGGAGCUUGCUUCUCUGGAUGAGUUGCGAACGGGUGAGUAACGCGUAGGUAACCUGCCUGGUAGCGGGGGAUAACUAUUGGAAACGAUAGCUAAUACCGCAUAAGAGUAGAUGUUGCAUGACAUUUGCUUAAAAGGUGCAAUUGCAUCACUACCAGAUGGACCUGCGUUGUAUUAGCUAGUUGGUGGGGUAACGGCUCACCAAGGCGACGAUACAUAGCCGACCUGAGAGGGUGAUCAGCCACACUGGGACUGAGACACGGCCCAGACUCCUACGGGAGGCAGCAGUAGGGAAUCUUCGGCAAUGGACGGAAGUCUGACCGAGCAACGCCGCGUGAGUGAAGAAGGGUUUCGGAUCGUAAAGCUCUGUUGUAAGAGAAGAACGAGUGUGAGAGUGGAAAGUUCACACUGUGACGGUAUCUUACCAGAAAGGGACGGCUAACUACGUG
rnacentral:rRNA from 1 species